GAGGAAAGUCCGGGCUCCACAGGGCAGGGUGCUAGGUAAUGUUUGGGGGGCGUGAGCCUACGGAAAGUGCCACAGAAAACAUACCGCCUACGUCCUUCGAGACCGGUAAGGGUGAAAUGGUGCGGUAAGAGCGCACCGCGCCGGUGGUAACACCGGUGGCAGGGUAAACCCCACCCGGAGCAAGACCAAAUAGGGGAACUUCGUGCGGCCCGCAUGGUUCCCGGGUAGGUCGCUUGAGGUGUGUGGUGACACACAUCCCAGAUGAAUGGCUGUCCAUGACAGAAUCCGGCUUAC
rnacentral:RNase_P_RNA from 1 species